UAAAGAGCGACUUUGUAUUCCAAUUUUCAAUUCCCGGUGACAAGAAGAAAGAACGAAGAGAAAAAGCGGAAGAGGAAGAACCACCCCAGCCAACGCCGCCCCCGCCGUCGCUGAUUUCAUCGCCACGACCUUUAAUCCGUUACUUAGAGGACAAUCGAAGCGCAAUUUACUUCUUCCACCAACUGGCGGUUAAUAGAUCGAUCAAUUAUAUCGCUUUCCCUUUGUUUGAUUAAAUUGAUUGGCUGAUUGACUAAGAAUCGCCAAUUUUCGCUGAUGGAAGUUGGCCGCGAUCGGGCGACGGACAGCUCCUCAGUGCGUCAGCAGCCGCAUCGGCAUCAAACGCCGUCGAAGCAGCCUAAUGUUUUCCCAAACCCUGUCGACACUGCUUCUGUCUCUCGGAGGCUUCAGAAGGAACUGAUGUCUCUAAUGAUGAGUGGGGAAGACCUUGGGGUGUCCGCUUUUCCCGAGGGAGAGAACAUUUUUACCUGGAUUGGCACAAUUGAAGGUGGAAAAGGAACUAUGUAUGAGGGUUUGUCGUACAAACUCUCUCUGCGUUUCCCCCUGGACUACCCUUUCAAGCCACCGCAAGUUAAGUUUGAGACAAUGUGCUUCCAUCCAAAUGUUGAUCAGUUUGGCAAUAUUUGUCUUGACAUCCUUCAGGACAAGUGGUCUUCCGCUUAUGAUUGCAGAACUAUUCUUUUGUCCAUUCAAAGUCUAUUGGGAGAACCCAACACAGAGAGCCCUCUCAACAGUUACGCUGCAGGAUUGUGGAACAACAAAGAAGAUUACAGGAAAAUGGUCCACAAGCAGCAUCUUGACGGAGGAGCAUUUGGGAUCUGAUUCAGGGAGUCUACUUUACAAAGAUGGAAUGCAUGGUCAAUACGAUUUGGUCAACUUUUCUGUGAAGUCCUAAGAGCUUGCAAAAUGAUCUAGCCUGCAAUAUUAUGAUUAUGGAGUACUUCAUACGUGUGGUUUUCCAGUUCCACACUGCUAGGACUGCAAUUCUUCAUUGAUCAGCUGUUGCAUCUACUUGCCUCAUAAUUGCCAAAAACUAGGAUUGGAAUUUGGAUGGAUUGCAGCUCUCUAUUGCGAAAAUGCCUAGUGUCGUGGAGAGCAGCAGCAUCAGAGAUGACAACUAAUGCACAUUACAAAGGGCACCAGAAAGAGGGGUGGUGCACGUGGUGUUGAUUUUUGAUAGACAAUGGUGUUGGAAAUAGGCUUCUCAGCUCGUGUUCCUGUACCUGCAAGCAGUAAUGCGCCUCCUAACCAAACCAGAAAAUGCCAGGUCGCUGCCCCUGCUUCAGAACGUUCAGCUAGACUUCCAUCAGCAGAACCUGAAGCGCCACCUACUGGCUUCUUGUGCUUGGAUGGUGCAGGAGCAGGGGGUAAAGGAGUAAAGAUACGCAUGGGAAGAAGCACGUCGUCCACCUGGUACACAGCCAGCUGCCCAUCUGUAUAUAUUGUUUUUGCCACUGUGGUGUUCACAAGCCCUGUCCGUAGGCUCACCUGUUUGCUCGCUGUCGAGACAUUGAGAGGGUACUCACCAUUGGCAGUGUCGCCUGCCUGGGUGUUUAGUGGGUUGCUGGCAGCUUCAAACUGUGAGGGAGGGAAAUAAGAAGUGAGGAUGUGGUAUAGCACAAGCUGAACCUGCUGUUGGUCAGUGAGAGAGUUCAGAAGGCCAGUUUUGAGGUUGGAGAAAGCUUUAUCAGUGGGUGCAAAUAGUGUGAGGCCGUUGCUCGAGUCGCUGAGCAAAGUGGAUAUUCGGUCGUCAACUUGGGUUGUUUUAAGUAUCCGGAUCAGGGAGUUAAAUGUGCCAGCUUUCUCAAGAAUUGCAGUGAUGUUUGUGGAGUCUGAGGAGGGUACGGGGGAGAUGGGCACUAGUGACAGAGGUGCCGGAGCCAGGGGUGCCAGGGGAGGUGGGGAAGACACAACAGGUGCUGGAGACGGAGCCUGCGACUGUGCGGGGGUUGUAGAGGAAUGGAGAAGGGCCAGCAGCAGGAUUGAAAAUGAGGAGAGGAGGUGGGGGUUUGCCAUAUUUCUGUAGUGUUGCAUCUUGUGGGCCGGCUGGUGGUUUGAGAGCUAGGAGAGGAGGGGUGUUUUUUGUUGGAUUGGAGAGGGAGGAAGAGUGGGUUUUAUGGAGAGAUGAGACGGUGAGGCUGAGAGGGGAGUGAGAUGCGAAGUUCAGAGGGAGUGGGUUGAGAGGGCGAAAUCCAAGUAGGCAGGAGAACACCCUGCAUCUGAUUAUCAAAUGGGUAUGGGGGAGCGUUUGUUUUACAGGUAGCUAGUGGUUUGCUUAGCAAGGAAGACAUGAGGAGUGAGGUAUGAAUAUGAUUUCACAGCAUAUUAAAUAAGCGCUGGUUUUGGUUUGCCUAGUGUUGAUCCACGGCCCAAACUACAAUUUAUUGUUGAUGGGCUAUAUUUAUCUUCCUUGUUUUGAAAGAGAAGGAAUGGAUCUUAUAUGAUUUCCAAGUUCUUUAAUUUCUUCCGGAAUCAUUUGCUUCUCACCUUUCGUGUGUAGCCAGGACAUUAAGAAAUAUUCAAAAAGGCAUUUGGGGAAUGUAUCUGAUUCUAUCUCUGCUCGUUCCUUAUUUUUAAAAGGGCAACAGAACACUUGAACAGACAAAUGCUUAAGGCCUUGAAUUAUGAAACAGAACACUUAAUAUUA